rnacentral:rRNA from 1 species
AACGAACGCUGGCGGCAUGCCUAACACAUGCAAGUCGAACGAGACCUUCGGGUCUAGUGGCGCACGGGUGCGUAACGCGUGGGAACCUGCCCUUAGGUUCGGAAUAACUCCCCGAAAGGGGUGCUAAUACCGGAUCAUGUCUUCGGACCAAAGAUUUAUCGCCUUUGGAUGGGCCCGCGUUGGAUUAGCUAGUUGUUAGGGUAAAAGCCUACCAAGGCGACGAUCCAUAGCUGGUCUGAGAGGAUGAUCAGCCACACUGGGACUGAGACCCGGCCCAGACUCCUACGGGAGGCAGGAGUGGGGAAUAUUGGACAAUGGGCGAAAGCCUGAUCCAGCAAGGCCGCGUGAGUGAUGAAGGCCUGAGGGUUGUAAAGCUCUUUUACCCGGGAUGAUAAUGACAGUACCGGGAGAAUAAGCGCCGGCUAACUACGUG